UACGUAGGGGGCAAGCGUUGUCCGGAAUCAUUGGGCGUAAAGAGCGCGUAGGCGGCCCUGUAAGUCCGCUGUGAAAGUCAAGGGCUCAACCCUUGGAUGCCGGUGGAUACUGCAGGGCUAGAGUCCGGAAGAGGCGAGUGGAAUUCCUGGUGUAGCGGUGAAAUGCGCAGAUAUCAGGAGGAACACCAAUGGCGAAGGCAGCUCGCUGGGACGGUACUGACGCUGAGACGCGAAAGCGUGGGGAGCGAACAGG
rnacentral:rRNA from 1 species